rnacentral:rRNA from 1 species
UACAGAGGUCUCAACCGUUGUUCGGAUUCAUUGGGCGUAAAGGGUGCGUAGGCGGCGGGGCAAGUCAGGUGUGAAAGCCCCGGGCUCAACCUGGGAAUUGCGCUUGUGACUGGCGUGCUGGAGUGUGGCAGAGGGAGGUGGAAUUCCUGGUGUAGGAGUGAAAUCCGUAGAUAUCAGGAGGAACAUCAGCGGCGAAGGCGGCUGACUGGCGAUGCAUUGACGCUGAGGUGCGAAAGCGUGGGGAGCAAACAGG